GACGAACGCUGGCGGCGUGCCUAACACAUGCAAGUCGAACGGGACCGGGGGCAACUCCGGUUCAGUGGCAGAUGGGUGCGUAACACGUGAGCAACUUGUCCGUCGGCGGGGGAUAGCCGGCCCAACGGCCGGGUAAUACCGCAUCCGCUCGUUCGGGGACAUCCCUGGGCGAGGAAAGCAGCCGCAAGGUUGCGCCGGCGGAGGGGCUCGCGGCCUAUCAGCUUGUUGGCGGGGUAAUGGCCCACCAAGGCGACGACGGGUAGCUGGUCUGAGAGGAUGGCCAGCCACAUUGGGACUGAGACACGGCCCAGACUCCUACGGGAGGCAGCAGUGGGGAAUAUUGCGCAAUGGCCGCAAGGCUGACGCAGCGACGCCGCGUGUGGGAUGACGGCCUUCGGGUUGUAAACCACUGUCGGGGGGGACGAAUACAGGGCUUCGAAUAGGAGACCCUGGGUGACGGUACCUCCAAAGGAAGCACCGGCUAACUCCGUGC
rnacentral:rRNA from 1 species